rnacentral:tRNA from 1 species
GGGCUCUUAGCUCAGCGGUUAGAGCAGAGGACUCAUAAUCCUUUGGUCGCAGGUUCAAAUCCUGCAGGGCCCA